CCUCUUCCUUUUUCAAUCUGCGCACCUUAUAUUAUCUAUGUCGGCUUGCCGACUAUGACGAUAAACGCGCAUGUAAUAAGCGGGCUGGACCCGGGGGCGGUACCCGGCGGCUCCACCACAAGCGGCUCUCCUUUUAUCCUUUAUAGGAUGCGGGGCCGUUUUUGAUGGGGCCGAAAUAGUAUCGACAGACGUGUAAAAAUGUUAGCUUUCGUCCGGAUGGGUACCGAUAAAUGCCCAAUUACAGUAGUUGCUAAUGAUAACAA
rnacentral:tmRNA from 1 species